UUUUUGUCAACAAAAAUUACAAAGCGCACAAACAACAUUAUUGGAAUGGAAAUACAUGUAUAUAAACAAAUAUGUAUAAUGUUUUUUAUCAAUAAAAUCCUUUUAUAUAGAUAUAGCAAAUUGAUGCUAAAUCAAUCUUCCAAACUCAUGACAUAUCUUACUUACAGUGUUGUAUCAUCCUCACAAGAAAAUAAUUAAAUUUAUUCCAUACUGACAUUGUCUCAUACAAAAAGUUUUCUAUAGAGUUGCAGCUAAUCUCAAUCAUGUAAACUGCAUGUACAAUCUUUAGCAAUAUGUAUUUCUGCUGAUGAAUUUCAUUCUUUAACAGAAAAAUUUACAAAACAUCAAAAUUAGCCAAAAAAAAUGUAUAUGCUUGUUUUAGGCUAUCUCUAAAAAUUAAAAAAACAAUUGUCAGAAAAUGAUUUCUGGAUUUUUCAUAUGAUAUUGUGUGAAAAAAAUCAAUUAAUUUGUACAUUUAAAAAACAGUAGACUUGCAAACAUUCUCUUCAAUGCACAACUAAUAUAUCUAGUUGUUUUCAACAUUUGUUGACAAGAAACCAUUCAUUUAGCCUUAAAAUAUAAUAAUUGUUACAAAUCCCCAUAUAAACAAAAGCAGACAAUCCUCUAGCAAUAACCUGAUUUAUGUUUGUUAGAAACUGACCAUUAUAUUCAGUCUACAUGCUAUUUGUGGAGUUGAUAUUGGUGUUUAAGAUUUACUUUUGAAUUUUCGUAUAAAUAAAAGUUUUCUACAUACAAUUAGACAAACCAAGCUAAAUAAACAGUGACUGUUUGCAAUUUAUUAAACGUUGACAUAGAUAUUUACCCUAUCCAACAUGCACAAAAUUCCCCCAGAUACUUUGAGUUCUAACCUAGGUUUGACUCUAGCAUUUUACUUAAAAUCAAAGAUGUCUUGAAUUCCCCAAUGUAAAAUAUAUAUAAAUUAGAAAAUUCAAAUAGUAACCUUAAAAAUUUACAUUACAAGAACUUGAAAAAAAAAUGACAAAAAAUUCAUAUUAAUCAAGAAAUAUAUGCAUGAAGUAAAUUUUAUGAAGAAUUUUAACCUGAUAUAUAUGCAUCUCUGAGUAUACAUUUUCAAAUAUGAGUGUGCUACCUAUUCUUGCAUCAUUACUCAGACAAUAUCCCUGAAAGACGAUAGUAGGCAUACAUGUUACUGUUAAAUAGAUACAAACAAUAAUUAUGAUUUGAGACAUGAAGGACUUCACUCUUGCUUAUUCUUUUCCAAAUUUGGCCUCAGUUGUAGAGUUGUUUAAUAAGUCAAACUACUGUAUUACAAGCCUAUCAACACCGAGGUUGUGAGUUUGAAUACCCCAAUGGACAGGUCACUCAACUCUAAUCUUAUUUGACUAGGAUUGUCAGUAUUCCUACUAAAGUUUGUAGACCUCUCCAGACACUCAAGCUUCCUCCACAAAUAAUAACUGACCGCCAGGCAAUAGCACAAUAGUAUUGAAAGUGGUGUUGAACACCAAUCAAUCAAUUCUUUUCCAAUUAACAUGCUGUGGACCAUAAAUUAUUACAACUUAAUUGGUUUUUUUUUCAAUAUCAAAAGUAAUUAAUAUCAAUACAAAUUUUGAAAACAAGAAUUAAUAUCAACUUUAUCAAAAAUCUGACUUGGCAAGAAAUUUUCACAGGGACUCAGGGAAGCUUAAAAAGUAGGAUUUUUCAGUAUACAGAUAUAGAUAAUAUGCUGCACAUAGCUAGUAAACAAAGAAAUAUUGAUAAAUAUAUUAAUAACUUAAAACAAAAAGACUGGAAAUUGAUUUUUUAAACAUUGAUUAAGUUCUUAAUCUACUAACUGAGUCUCUCUUGAAAUCAUAUAUUUUUAAAGCACUUUAACAAACACCUGCUUUUAAAAACACUGAAUAUUUAAAUUUUUAACAAAAAU
rnacentral:lncRNA from 1 species